UAAACGGCUCUUUUUAGAGCCAGCCAACUUUCGAGAGCUCAAAACAU
rfam:Ciona savignyi cont_65799, whole genome shotgun sequence.